UCGUCUAGAGGCCCAGGACACCGCCCUUUCACGGCGGUAACAGGGGUUCGAAUCCCCUN
rnacentral:tRNA from 1 species